AUCGAACGCUGGCGGCAGGCCUAACACAUGCAAGUCGAGCGGAGCGGCGGACGGGCGAGUGAUGCCUAGGAAUCUGCCUGGUAGUGGGGGAUAACGUACGGAAACGGGCGCUAAUAUCGCAUACUUUCAUAUGAGCCUAGGUCGGCUUAGCUAGUUGGUGGGGUAAAGGCCUACCAAGGCGACGAUCCGUAACUGGUCUGAGAGGAUGAUCAGUCACACUGGAACUGAGCCACGGUCCAUACUCCUACGGAAGGCAGCAGUGGGGAAUAUUGGACAAUGGGCGAAAGCCUGAUCCGGCCAUGCCGCGUGUGUGAAGAAGGUCUUCGGAUUGUAAAGCACUUUAAGUUGGGAGGCGUUACCAACAGAAUAAGCACCGGCUAACUCCGUGCCAGCCGCCGCGGUAAUUC
rnacentral:rRNA from 1 species